rnacentral:rRNA from 1 species
AUGUUAGAGCUGAAGCUCUGCAGUUCAGAUGUAACAUACCUGAAUAUGAUUGCAGUGAUGGAAACCCAAGGUUUUAGUGAAUAUGAUCUGCUGUUUCACAUUGAGAAUCCAGAUUUAGGGGAGAAAGGAUUGGAGAUGGUAGAGAGUAAUGCUGAGUUGCAACUAGUAAAGAGGCAGGUUGAGGAGUGUAAGGUUUUAAAUUUGCUAGUGAGGGCAUGUCCACCUCCUUGCAGCAAGUUUCAGAGGCAAGAAUUAUCCACUGUUGUGUUAUAUGAUCUCAGUGAGCCACCCAUCUAUGCUGUUGAUGAAGAAGGAGUUGCCUUUGAAAGUCAGAGUAGCAGCUGCAGUUUAGUAGCUCAUGGUACUGGUGUUUGCACACAAGAGAGCAAGAAUGUAAAAGGAAAACUGAAAGCUAUUUUGGAAAUAGAAGAAGAAGAGGGAUAUGAUGGCAGUGGUGGUUCUGAUUGUGAAGGUGAAGAUGACAGUGAUGUAAACCCUUUUUAUAUGGGUGAUGCUGAUGACAUAGAGAUGGAUGAGGGAAAGAAACAGAGAGAGUAUGAUGAAGUAGAAGAGGAAGAAACAGAUGAUGAAGAAUCUGAGGAGGAAGAAAUGGUGCAUUACUCUGGUGACACCGAGGUUGAGGAACCUUUUGAAAUGGAUGAAGAUGACAAGGUUGUUUCACAGGAUGAAGAAACUGUAAUUGUACAUGAAGAGAAGAAGAAGAAGAAACAGAAGCUUCUAGUUAGGAAAGGGCCUACAACAAGGACACAUUCAAGUGUAGUUCAAGAGGAGGAACCUGAUUUCCAACCUUCAUCUGAUGAAGAACAGAAAGGAUUGUUGAAGGAGGCUGAUGAUGAUGGUUAUGAGCCAUUGGCAUUUGUGCUGCCAAAGAAAAGGAAGAGCAGGGCAAAGCAGAGGCCUCCUAGAAAAUGGUACAAUGAGAAAAUGGAGGCACCACAUGAGCAAUUAUGUCUACAGAUGUGUUUCAAGGAUCAACAUCAAUUCAGAGAGGCUUUGUUGAACUUACACAUCACUCAAGGCAGAAACUUCAAAUAUCAUAGGAACUCAGAUCAAAGAAUAAUUGUAGAAUGCAACCAAAAACAUUGCAACUUCUUUAUGGUGGCAGCAGUUAUAAAAGGUGAAACUACUUUUGUAAUUAAGAAGAUGAGAAUUAAGCACACUUGCCCUAUUAGUACAGAGACAACAAGGGUAAGUGCCAAGUGGCUUGCACAGAAGUAUGAGUCACUGUACAGAGACAACUGGCAUUCAGACUUUGAUUGA